UAGGGAAUUUUUCACAAUGAGCGAAAGCUUGAUGGAGCAAUGCCGCGUGAACGAUGAAGGUCUUUAAGAUUGUAAAGUUCUUUUAUUUGGGAAGAAUGACUUUAGCAGGUAAUGGCUAGAGUUUGACUGUACCAUUUUGAAUAAGUGACGACUAACUAUGUGCCAGCAGUCGCGGUAAUACAUAGGUCGCAAGCGUUAUCCGGAUUUAUUGGGCGUAAAGCAAGCGCAGGCGGAUUGAAAAGUCUGGUGUUAAAGGCAGCUGCUUAACAGUUGUAUGCAUUGGAAACUAUUAAUCUAGAGUGUGGUAGGGAGUUUUGGAAUUUCAUGUGGAGCGGUGAAAUGCGUAGAUAUGUGAAGGAACACCAGUGGCGAAGGCGAAAACUUAGGCCAUUACUGACGCUUAGGCUUGAAAGUGUGGGGAGCAAAUAGGAUUAGAUACCCUAGUAGUCCACACCGUAAACGAUAGAUACUAGCUGUCGGGGCGAUCCCCUCGGUAGUGAAGUUAACACAUUAAGUAUCUCGCCUGGGUAGUACAUUCGCAAGAAUG
rnacentral:rRNA from 1 species